GUGGCUGUAUCUCAGUGGUAGAGCACUUGCCUGGUGUGUGUGAGGCACUGGGUUCAAUCCUCAGCACCACA
rnacentral:tRNA from 1 species